UACGAAGGGGGCUAGCGUUGCUCGGAAUCACUGGGCGUAAAGCGCACGUAGGCGGCUUUUUAAGUCAGGGGUGAAAUCCUGGAGCUCAACUCCAGAACUGCCUUUGAUACUGGGGAUCUCGAGUCCGGAAGAGGUGAGUGGAACUGCGAGUGUAGAGGUGAAAUUCGUAGAUAUUCGCAAGAACACCAGUGGCGAAGGCGGCUCACUGGCCCGAUACUGACGCUGAGGUGCGAAAGCGUGGGGAGCAAACAGG
rnacentral:rRNA from 1 species